GUGGAUUAGAUACCCCGGUAGUCCUAGCCCUAAACGAUCAGGACUUGGGGUGCCACCCGUUCGGGUGUCGUCCCGGAGCUAACGCGUUAAGUCCUGCACCUGGGGAGUACGGUCGCAAGACUGAAACUCAAAGGAAUUGACGGGGGCCCGCACAAGCGGUGGAACAUGUGGUUCAAUUCGACGCUACGCGAGGAACCUUACCUGGGCUCGAAAUGCUUAUGACCAGCUGUAGAAAUACGGCCUUCCCGCAAGGGACAUGAGUAUAGGCGCUGCACGGCCGUCGUCAGCU
rnacentral:rRNA from 1 species